UUUUUUAGCUUACACGUAUGAGUGAGAAUCUGCGGUAUUUAUCUUUCUAUGCCUGGCUUAUUUUACUUAACAAAAUGUCCUCCAGACUCAUCCAUGUUGCUCUGAAUGAUAGGAUUUCAUUCAUUUUUAUGGUUGACUAGUAUUCCAUGGUGUAUUUGUACCAUGUUUUCUUCCUUAAUAUCUGUUGAUGGACACUUAAGUUGAUUUCACAUGUUGGCUAUUGUGAGUAGUGCUGUAAUAAACGUGGGAAUGCAGCUAUCUCUUUGAUACAUGGAUUUCCUUUCCUUUGGAAAACUACCCAGUAGUGGGAUAGUGAGAUCAUAUGGUAGUACUAUUUUUAGUUUUUUUCUAUACUGUUUUCCAUAAUGUCUGUGCUAAUUUACAUUCCUAUGAAGACUGUAUAAGAGUUCCCUUUUCUCUUCAUCCUUACCAGCAUUUGUUAUUUUUUGUCAUUUUGAUAAUAGCCUUAGUGGAGUGACAUGGUAUCUCAUUGUGAUGGUGAUUUGCAUUUUCCUUAUGAUUAGUGAUGUUGAGCAUUUUUUCAUAUAGUUGUUGGCCAUUUGUAUGUCUUUUUUUGAGAAAUAUUUAUUCAGAUUCUUUGCCCAUUUAAAAAUCAAAUUAUUAGUUUUUUUUUUUUGCUAUUGAGUUGCUUGAGUUAUUUGCAUAUUCUGGAAAUUAGUCCCUUCUCAGAUGAAUAGUUUGCAAACACUUUCCUCCAUUCUGUUAGUUAUCUCUUCACUCUGUUGAUUGUUUCCUUUGCUGUGCAGAAGUUUUUAACACAGUCCCAUUUAUCUAUUAGGUUGGUGCAAAAGUAAUUGCAAUUCUUGGCAUUUAGUUUACUUUUGCCAUUUGCUUUUAAAUGGCAAAAACUGCACUUACUUUUGCACCAACCUAAUAUUUUUU
rnacentral:lncRNA from 10 species